rnacentral:rRNA from 1 species
AUUGAACGCUGGCGGCAUGCCUUACACAUGCAAGUCGAACGGCAGCACGGGAGCAAUCCUGGUGGCGAGUGGCGAACGGGUGAGUAAUGUAUCGGAACGUGCCCAGUCGUGGGGGAUAACGUAGCGAAAGCUACGCUAAUACCGCAUACGAUCUAUGGAUGAAAGCGGGGGAUCGCAAGACCUCGCGCGAUUGGAGCGGCCGAUAUCAGAUUAGGUAGUUGGUGGGGGAAAGGCUCACCAAGCCGACGAUCUGUAGCUGGCCUGAGAGGACGAACGGCCACACUGGGACGGAGACACGGCCCAGACUCCUACGGGAGGCAGCAGUGGGGAAUUUUGGACAAUGGGCGCAAGCCUGAUCCAGCAAUGCCGCGUGCAGGAUGAAGGCCUUCGGGUUGUAAACUGCUUUUGUACGGAACGAAACGGCGAGCUCUAAUACAGUUUGCUAAUGACGGUACCGUAAGAAUAAGCACCGGCUAACUACGUGCCAGCCGCCGCCGUAA